GACAGGUUGACAGCACUAGCUGGUUUGAACUGUCAUUUGAGUUCCUGGGAGUUUAUGAUAGCGUACAGUUCAGAAGUCUACACCACUGUGUAUCUCCUUAUCUCUGGCUGAUAAACUCUUGAGGAUUGUGACUUACUUUGUUUCCAUUUUCUUCAGCUUUGUGCAGUUCUCUUGUACUUUAACUGUAUCUAUAUUUUCUGUUUACAAGUUAAUUUUAAGGGGAAGGGUAGGAUUUUAAGAUCUUGGUUAUUGUAGAUAAUUUUUUUCUCGUGUUGUAGAAAAGCAUGGGUUAUACAUUUGAGUGAAAAGGCACUGUAUUAUUUACCAAAGGUGUAUUGUUUGCAUUUGUUUAUAAAUGCAUUAUUUUAGUACUGUAAAUUUGGGCAUAACUUCUGAGUUUACUACUAUUGCUUCAGCUGGCAUCUGUCUUUCUCCUUCUCCGUCAUCCCCAUAAAUGUGCAAUGUGGGGUGCAUAGGUCACAGACCAAACAAGACCACCAGCAUGUAAUUGUCCACACUUUGGGAACAGCGUGCACUGUUUCGUACACAUCAGUCCCUCCAGUGUUGGUUUUUUAAUUUUUUUUAUUUUGUUUAUAAAUUCAGCAUUUUGCUUUAACCUUCCGGAAAGAUCUGUUGAGAGUCCCCAUUGCAUCUCAAUGAGCUCUCUCUUAUUUGCCUAUCUUUGUAUGUAUUUUGUAUACUAGAUUGUGCAGGACGUAUUCUAGAAGGGAUCAAUGGUUUGCAUUCAAAAUGAUGUAGUUUGUCCAAAAUAUUUUGCCUUUAAAAUUGAAAUGGGUUAAUCUCAUUUUUUUCUUGAUGAUUUGAAAUUGUAAGAUUUGUCCAGCUAUUGCUUAAUAAAAUUUUGCGGAUCAAAAAAGAUC
rnacentral:lncRNA from 1 species